AUUGAACGCUGGCGGCAUGCUUUACACAUGCAAGUCGAACGGUAACAGGGAGCUUGCUCCGCUGACGAGUGGCGAACGGGUGAGUAAUGCAUCGGAACGUACCCAGUCGUGGGGGAUAACGUAGCGAAAGUUACGCUAAUACCGCAUACGUCCUGAGGGAGAAAGCGGGGGACCGUAAGGCCUCGCGCGAUUGGAGCGGCCGAUGUCGGAUUAGCUAGUUGGUAGGGUAAAGGCCUACCAAGGCGACGAUCCGUAGCGGGUCUGAGAGGAUGAUCCGCCACACUGGGACUGAGACACGGCCCAGACUCCUACGGGAGGCAGCAGUGGGGAAUUUUGGACAAUGGGCGAAAGCCUGAUCCAGCCAUGCCGCGUGAGUGAAGAAGGCCUUCGGGUUGUAAAGCUCUUUCAGGUGGAAGAAAACGACAUAGGUUAAUACCUUAGUGCGGAUGACGGUACCAUCAGAAGAAGCACCGGCUAACUACGU
rnacentral:rRNA from 1 species